GGCUGGUCCUAGGGCAGGGGUGUUUACUACUGAUUUAUCACAAACAGUUACAUAUUUCUUUGUUCCUUCUCCACUAUCACUGCUUCACUUGACUGGCUUUAA
rnacentral:Y_RNA from 1 species